AUCAAUUAUUGCAUAUGGGUCAUUUCUGUUUUAUUCUCCUCCCAAGAACCGACUCUCUUGAACGUCAUGGAAGUUGAAACCUUGAAAUAUUAAAUAAUUCCUGAAAAAUGCUAAUCAUAAAAACAGAAGUCCACUUCAAAAUUGAUGUCAUUCACCUUAAGAAAACCAUCUCUUUCCAUUUUUGGCUAUCUUAAGUUUCAGGACAAGUUUCUCACCCUGAAAUUCUACCCCAGCUAUUUUAGGCUCAUUUGGAGAUAUGGCUCCCCCGUGUCUCUUAGCUCUGACUCUAGAGAUGAUUUUGUUUUUCGAAUCUUUCUUUUGUCACAACUUCACCUUCGGCUGUGGAUUUUCUACCCCUUACACGGUGGCUUUUGCCCUCGGAUGACAACCUGCUGAGCAACAGAAAUUGAAGAACACGGAUAAAAUGAAAUAUCAAGCUCCCCCAUCAGGCCCUGAACUUUUCCUUGCGAUCCUAUUUGAAUAUUGUUGAGCUCAUACUCCACCUGUUUCAAUUCACUCUGAUGAUCUUGAAGAGUGUACUCGAGUUUAGCUUAAUCAGCAAGUACACCAGAUACUUCAUGUUCAGCUUCAGAAGCUAUCCUCUUUUUUUCAUCAAGUAUUGCAGAGAGUUGCUUUCUGAGGUUUUCUGUCUCCCGUUGAAGAUUAUCAAUUUCAGCUGUCUUCUCUUUUCAAGUGUUCUGUUGGCUGAAACAUGGGAAUCAUUUAUGCGCUUGGUUGCCAUUUCACUCUCUCAAGAUGAUUGCCAUGUUUUCCUCCGUCAGCCUUUUUUCAUUUUGAAGACUAGAAACCUUAGCUUGAAGACGCUCUAUUUCAGACCUUUUUUGACUUAAUUCCUCAUCCACAUCCAGCCCUGCUACCUCAACUUCCAGUUCAUUGUUCAAACUCUUAAGUUUCUGCACUGAAACAUCACAUUGAUUUUUAAUCUCCUUGAGCACUUUCUUCUUUAGCUUCUCUUCAAGAUCAUGUUCUCCUGUUUCAUAAUGACUUACAUCAAUAAAACCUUGAAUUAGAAGAAUAAUCUUCUAAAUUCUUA